UCCAGGAGCCGCGCAGGCUGCCUUCGGCGGGCAGCGGCCCCGCGGAAGGUCCCAGUGGGAAGCUGUGGGCACGUGGGGGCCCGAGCAGGGCUGCCCGCGCUGCCCUCGGGAGGGGCCGGGCGCUUCGGCUGCCGUGGCUUCUCGGGGCCACCCGGUCAUCGGACGUGGCCCGCGGAGCGUGCGUCAUCCAGCGCUCAGCUCGCGGCCUCGUCGGGCAGCUGUGUAACAGGAUUCUCACAGGGCACCUCCCUGCGUGGAGAAAGCACGCCCACCCUCCGUCCCGCGCGUCAGGACCGCCCCCCACGGCACGAGCCCCUCCUCCCCUUCCUUCCGGGGCCCAGGGACCAGCUUUGGGGCCCGUGCCACUCACACUCCAGACGUCAGACGCGUGUGUCUCUGGGACGGGCUCUCACGCCUGCAUCCUGGGCAGCCGGGCCCUCCGGGUGCUGGGCGCCUGCAGCGCUGUUGCAGGCGGGGCUGCCGUCGCUAACCGCGUGACGCGGGCUGAGUCGGAGGAGAACUGCCUGGCUCCACGGGGCCUGCUCUGCUCCCCGCGCGGCGCCCCCUUUCCAGCAGUGACGGUCUCGGUGUGUCGCCUUGGCCUCUAAGAUCUAGAUGCAUAACCUCAGAAGCCCUAGAGCUUUGAAACCGAAAACCAAAGCCCUACGCAGCUCAGUGGGCAGACAGCCCAGCCUCCAAAGUCUGAAAGUUGGCUUUGACCACUGAUGUCUGGGUUCUCGUCGCUUUUGUGGAGCGGCAGGUAUUCAGAGGGCCUCCUCCUGUCUCUCCAGAACUGCUUCUCCAGCCGUUGUUCUUUGGUUUAGCACAGUAAAUGCUGGCUCUUUUCUGGGUCAAAACCCUUUUCAGAUGUAAUGGAAGCUACAGAAAAACGUGGACGUGCACGCGCGCGCACUCUCCGAUACAUUUGGUUAUAAUUUAAUUCUGUGUGUGGAUUUGCGGUUUUGAAAACUUGGUUUUAGAGCGUUCAGUGACGGUCUCGAGGACAGAAGGUGCCCACGAUAGAAUCUUUCCGAUCUCCUCUUCACCGCUUGCUGGCUUAACUAGCGUUGUCUCCUUUUUCUCUUUUUAAAAAAUGGUGAAAUACACAUAUAACUUCCCAUUUUAGCUGUUUUUAAGUGUAUAAUUAAGCGGCGUUAGGUACCUUCACAAUGUUGUGUGGCCAUCGUCACCGCCCAUCUCCAGAACUUUCCAUCGUCCCAAACUGAAACUCUGUCCCCAUUAAACACUAGCUUCCCCUUCAUCCCCACCCCCUGGAGCCCCUGGCCCCCACCAUCUACUUCCUGCCUCUGUGAAUUUGACCUCUCCAGGCACCUCAUGUGAGUAGAAUCUUAUAGCAUUUGCCCUUUUGUGACGGGCCUAUUUCACUUAGUAUUACAUCCUCAAGGUUCAGCCACAUUGAAUUUCCUGAAUUUUUUCCUUCCUUUCAGAAUUUCCUUCCUUUUUAAGGCUGAAUCAUAUUCUGGUGUAUGUAUGGACCACAUUUUGUUUAUACAUCAGUGGGUAUACACUUGGUUUGCUUCCAGGUUUUGGUUAUUGUGAAUAAUGCUGCUACGAACAUGUAUACAUGUCUCAUGGAGACCUUGCUUUCAGUUCUUUGGGGUACGUACCCAGUAGAAUUGCUGGAUCAUAUGAUAAUUCUUUUUAAAAAAUUUGAGGAGCUACCAUAAUGUUUUCCACCAUGGCUGUACCUUUUUAUGUUUCUGCCGACGGUGCAUAAGGGUGCCAAUUUCUCCACAUCCUCACCAACACUUAACUGUGAUUUUUGUUUGUUUUGUUUUUGGAUGGCGGCCAUCCUGAUGGGUGUGAGGGGGCGUCUCAUAGUUGUGCUUUUCCCUGGUGAUCAGUGAUGAUAAAUUGCUCUUGCAAAAGACUGGAGGACACUGGGAAAGGGAAGAGACCGGAGGCCCGGAGGCAACUAGAAGCCUGUUCAGAUUUCCGGGAGGGACAGGAAUCCGCCGGCGGGGACGGUGACCGAGCAGCGUGAACGCCUGUGCAGCCAAGUGAACGAAGCAGAUUCUAAAUUAUUGCAUAUCAACACUCAUUCCACCUGUUGUACGUGAGGAGAAAAGGUCAGUUCUGCAGGUAAGUAUCCCUAAGUUUGCUUAGGUAUAAAAGUAUGAGCUAAAAACGUACACAGUUUGAGAUACAGUUUGUUAAAAAUACAAGUGCGUGCCAGCACGUGGUACAUCUGAACAAACCUGUUCGGGGGUAUUUUAAGGAGCUCAACAGAUAAAUGUCUCCAGUAGACAAUCAUCAGCCUAUCACUCAAUCACUCGUGUUGAGAGAGUGAAGGUGUACCCACACGGCAGCAGCUGGGUCACUGGGAAGUUGCCACAGGUCGAGGCUUUUGAGACGGCACAGGUAAGGCUGAAGGUGUUGAGCCCCACUUUAAAAUUGUGAAGUCGUGGGCGAUUCCCUUCCCCUUGGUAGGAGUAACCCCAUGCGGUUCCACCCUCAGAGUUGGGAGAACACCUAAAGUAAUGACGUCUUCAAUGUGUGUAACCAACGUCAGAGCCUUACGGGAAUGCUGAGAAUUCCUGGGAUGGGGAGUUCACUAACUCUUUUAAUACAGGUGCUCCACUUAAACUGUGUUUGAGAAUUAAACUGUAGAGACUGUGCAAUUGGCGAGUAGACUUUGGAGCAGAUCACAACUCCUUCUAGGAAGACAUCUCAGACGUUGCUCUGGAGGCAAAUCCAGUGUUUGAGGAACACACCUGAUGAGCGGUGACGUGAGGACAGUGCUGAACCUCUGUGACAGUAUCGUUCUUGACUAUAUUAAUAAAUGUAUAUUAUAUAUUCAUGUUAGUAAUUACUGAUAAGAUGGUAGGCUAAAUGUAUAUUAUAUAUUCAUGUUAGUAAUUACUGAUAAGAUGGUAGGCGCCAGUAUGCUUCUGUACCUACAACCCAACAGGAUGUGUAUUAGAACCACACCUGGAAUAGAAGCAGGAUAUAUAUAUGGGUUUUUGUGGUAUUAAUGAUUCUGGCUGGUUGGUGCCUGCCUGUUUCUAGUAAUUGCUAAAUAUUCUGAAUAUGCCUCUGCCCAGGAAUUUAUUUAUUACCUUGACAGAAAAUGGCUACCUUCCAGAAAUUAUUUCUUCAGGAGAAAAUUUACUAGAAAAUAUUUUUGCCUUGAAAUUACUUAAAAUGUGAUCCAGUUUAAUGCAAAUCAUACAAAUUAUACAAAAAAAUGUAAAACAACAAAGGACCACUCAAUUCUAAGUUCAAAAGUACAUUUAUUUAAAAUGUGGGCAAGAUAUCAAUAUAAAAGAAAAGAGUGUAAGAAAUAAAAAUAAAAGUACAAAACAUUUCAAAUCUUUAACAUCCAUACUUUAGAGAUAGCAAGGUCUUUAUUUACACCAUUUUAUUUGCAGCUAAAGUUCCAUUAACAACAGUGUUGUGAAAACAUUUAAAAACCCGGCAAAUGAAUCAUAAAACCUGACGUGGGCUCUUAAAGUCAUAUAAUACAAAACAUAAUUUAUGUUUCCUCAGAAUAAAAUUGCACAUCUUAAUAAGAUGCAGUAUAUUUAAUAUAUUUGUCUUCCUGCUUUACAAUGCUUGUCCCCGAAGAAAGCAGCUGGAAAACAAGGGCGUCUGAAGGGAGCAGGGGCUGCUCCAUCCGGCAGCUGACACAGCCAGACCCGUGCACCGGGCUCCAGUCACCAGCGCAGAUGUGUCAGUUAAAUUUAUAUGUAAGCUCGUUGAGGAAAACAACUGCCAAACAACGCAAACUAGAGACAGCAUCCACUACAGGCCGCACGCCGAGGUGGUGAGCUUUGGGCGCCCAAGCCCUCGCCAACCCCUGCACCUCUGAACCAUCCACCCGGGGCUCCAGCUGUCCUGGGGCAGAAUGACUCGGGCUCCUUCAGAUGCAAGAAAAGGGACCCUGAGGUGACACCCACCAACCACCCAAAGUACCUUAAAGAGCGGAGACACGCGUGCCCUCCUCAAGGACUCUUCCAGACUGAAGGAGAAAAGCACCUCAGCCUCGGCAUCUCGGAGAAGGUAGUUUUGCUCAUCUGGAAAAGAGAACAGCACCGUCCGAACAGUGCACGGCACCCGGAUUCACCGUGCCACCCGCUCCAGGCUGCCCCCAGUCAGGGAUCUAGUUCCCUGACCAGGGAUGGCACCUGGGCCCCCUGCAUUGGGAGCACGGAGUCUUAACCACUGGACGGCCAGGGAAGUCCCUGAAGUGAUAUGCCACUGUGCAAACUAAUAAAUCAAUCAACAGACUCAGUUCCACACCUGGGCUAGAAGACGCUGCGGUCCCUUCCAACCACUCGCCUUUGGAGAACAGAGAUGACACAGGUGGCCAGCAGCUGUUUGUCAGACAUCUGCUCUGGAUAAUCCGCAAUUGCAAACACACAGCCCAAGUUCAGUAUGAAUGCGUGAAGCGAGUCACGCCUGACCAUCACGCACCCACCGGUGCGGCGAGGACCUCUGGCAUAUACUGCUGCAAACGUAGCUGCUCGCCUGUCUACGUUAAGUGACCGAGAACGUGAAACCAACGGUUCCUGCCUGGGCACUGAGCAUCCCGAGUCGGUCCCUGCGGCAGCCUGAUGUUCUAUGGACACCAGUGCUCACUUCAGGGUAUGGCGUCCCAAAGUACCAAAGAAAUCUAGCUGUUCCGCCCCCCUAACUGUAUCCUUUGUUAGGUAACGAGACCCCCAUUCCCCGUUUUCUAGGAGUUAUUUUGGCAUGAAUCCUUACCCUAGCUGCAAACACUCUCCAAGUAAGUACAGGACUUUUGGGAGAAAAAGAAGGAAGA